GUUCCUUAGAGUGGAUGGCUCCCUUCUGCACACAUGUGGCCACAGAGCUGCCACUGUUGCUCGUUCAGAUGACUGCAGUUAUUCCUGGUGGGGAUUCAUGUAGGCCCGGAUCCCAGAAUCUUCAGCACUGAUGUGUCUAGUAGUCAGCUCUCGGCUUUUUGUUUAACUUGAGAUCAAUCCUCCAUCACGCUUUUCUGUUUUUAAAAAAAACUUCCCAGCCUAACCUAAUAUACAUACCUGUGCCGAUUUUUGUUCUUCCUUUUUUUGUGGCUGCUGUGGUGGCUCCCAGAAGUGGAGGAAGCGGCUUUUUGGGGUUUCACCCCCUGCACGGAUCCAUCCAGCUCCUCAGCAUCCUCCUGGCUGGGCUCGUUCUCCUGAUUGUGGAAGUCUGGAGAAGUGUCGCUUUCCGUCCCGCUGCCCGGCUCCCGCUUCUCGAUGAGCUGAUCCUGGACUCCAGCUAACGCACUGACGGCCGCGGCAGAGGUGACCGAGGAUUUGCUGAAGAGCCGCUCGGCCUCCUUAAACUUGCGGUUCCUGCGGUCGUUUUUGCUGUUGGAGUUCUUCUGGUUGGUGAGGUAACGGUCCCAUCCGCGGAUGAUGUUGCCGUACAUCUGCGUGUCCUCCAGGUAGCUGCCUUCGAAGGCGUAGAUCUGCCGCUCCAGGUUGGCCAGCGUCUCCGCCAGCUCCUGUUUGCGCUUCACCAGCUCGGCCAACUCCCGCCGGGUGUCGGGGAUCUGCGGGGGUCCGCCGGCCUUGGCGUGCAGCGCGGCCAUGGCGGCUGCGGCCUGCGCGGGGCGGGCGGGGCUGCGGAGAGGCGCCGCCGGGGGCAGCGCUGAGCACCGCUCCGCCCCUCCGCACCGCACCGCACCGCCCCGCUCCGCUCCGGGCCCCGCCCCGCAGCUGCCGUCGGGGCUGAGCCUCAGUAGGGACGCAGGAGCGGGGAGAGGGGCCGGGCGAGCGGCCCCGAAGGCCUCCAAGAUUCGGGUCUGUGCUUGAAGCGGCGCUGCACGGGGGGGCGGCAGACAACCAGGCCGACCCCGAACCUAAGGCUGAACCCGAGGCUGAACCCCUCCGCCCACUCGGCAGCCCGAAGGCAGGACUCAGUGCUCCCCGGCGGCUCCGGAGAACCCACCCGCCUUCAGAACCUGAAUAAGGGAAUCUCGGAGCAAAAUGAAG
rnacentral:lncRNA from 1 species